rnacentral:lncRNA from 1 species
CAGUGUGUGUGAUCUUUCGUUCCUGGGUUCACUCUUUUCUUUCUUUCUUUCUUUCUUUCUUUCUUUCUUUCUUUCUUUCUUUCUUUCUUUCUUUCUUUCUUUCCUUCUUUUUCUUUCUUCCUUUCUUUCUCUUUCUUCUUUCUCUCUCCCUUCCCUCCCCUCCCCUCCCCUCCCCUCCCUUCCCUUCCCUUCCCUUUCUUUCUUCCUUCCUUCCUCCCUUUCUUUCUUUCGACAGAGUCUCGCUCUGUCGCCCAGGCUGAAGUGCAGUGGCACAAUCUCGGCUCACUGCAACCUCCACCUCCCGGGUUCCAGCAACUCUCUUGCCUCAGUCUCCCGAGUAUCCAGGAUUACAGCAGGACCUCAUUCCCAAGCAUGUGCAGAAUCCAGCUGUUUGGCAGGAAGAGCACGUCCUGUGGCUGAGCUUUUACUCCUGCUGCCACCCUUCUUACCUUGAGCUGGAGAGAAGGUGAGUCAUUUCAUACCUCAUCAUUUUUCCCCCAUCAUUUCAUACCUACUCUAGUUACAAGUCAUUUCUUCCUUGAAGCAAACUAUCUCUUCACAAUUUGUGAAUAUUCAUUGCCUUCUGAUAGUUCUGUUCUAGAGGCACACAGUUAUUUGAAACUUUUUGCUAUUUAACUCCUUACAAAAGGGUUUCAGUUGGCUUUGAAAGCAUAACCACACAUAAGACAUCUUUGUACCUACCCAGCGUCUUGCUAUGAGUUGUUUAGUGAAUGUUUAUCUUAGGUAAACAAUGUUUCCGAUGAGGAUUAAUUUAAAUGACCACAAUCAUGAUAGAAAAGGCUGAUUUAUUUUGCCAAAUAGAACACCUACACAUAACAUUACUCACGUAAAAAUAUAUAAAACUUUGCUUUAAAGAUUAGUCCCUGGCUGGGUGCGGUGGCUCACAUCUGUAAUCCCAGCACUUUGGGAGGCCGAGGCGGGCAGAUCACCUGAGGUCAGGGGUUUGAGACCAGCCUGGCCAACAUGGGUGAAACCUCGUCUCUACUAAAAAUACAAAAAAUUAGCCAGACAUUGUGGUGGGCACCUGUAAUCCCAGCUAUUCGGGAGGCUGAGGCAGGAGAAUCGCUUGAACUCAGGAGGUAGAGGUUGCAGUGAGCCGAGAUCGCGCCACGGCACUCCAGCCUGGGCAACAGAGUGAGACUCCAUCUCAAAACAAAAACAAAAACACCACCAAAAAAAACAAAAAAAUGAUUAGUUACCACAGUAGUACUUAAAGGAUUAAAAUCACAAACAUAAGCUCAGCUUACAAAAGCAUGAAAUUUGAGCUGGUGAAACUAUUGCAGAUUUGCCAAGGUGAAACCACUAAAUUUACUAAAUUUAAAUUUGGGGAAUUUAACUUUGAUGGGUUCCUAUAUAAGCCAGUACUGUUUAAAUCAGGAAAUGGGGGGAAACACAGGUAUAUUCUUAGUAAAUUAAAACUUUCAAGCUAAGUGUGAUGGCGCAUGCCUGUAGUCCCAGCUGCCAGGGUGGCUGAGGCAGGAGGUGGCUUAAGCCAGGAGUCUGGGGCUGUAGCCAGCUACCAGCCCACUUGUGAGUAGCCAAUGUACUCUGGCCCAAGGAACAAAGCAAGACCCCAUCUCAAAAACAAAAACGCCAACAAAAACUUUCAUGGCCUUACCUGAUCAUUCUUACCGGCACAAACAGUCCUCUUCUGAAAAACAAGCAUUCAGGUUAAACACCGACAACUCAGUUGUUGACUGUCUAGAUACAACAAACGCAGAGUAAACUGCUAGGAUGACAGGAGUCUCUGCCAGGGUCAUUCAUAGUAAAACUUUAUUGAACAGAAAACCCAGCAAAGGUUUUCACCUCCGCAAAGUUCCCCUUAGUUUAAA